UUUAGGUUAAAGUGAGGUGGUCGAUAGGUCGAAAUUCAAUGAUUGUGUUGCGCCAAAAAAUAUUCAGUAGUUAUCGCGAUUGUAUAGCCGAAUAAUCUAUUCUGCAUUAAUCGUAGUUAGAAUGCGUUUAGUCCUUCUGGUGGUGUGUGGCCCCCAGUCAUCCUCACUUCAAUGCAAGGACACGUUGAGUUUGAAGACGUAGGUAAUUCAAUCAGGCCAUGAACUUGAUGGCGGUCUCAGGCGCUAUCUUCAGGACGUUGACUCCGUUCCCCCGCCACAGUGACCUCAAGCCUCCUUCCCUGAUCAUCUGCCUGAAGCCCCCUACCAAGCUGAUAUUGUUGGAUUUAGAAGAGUGAACCUGUAGCAAUCAACAGGAGAUUUACCACAUAGGAUACACAAAGGACAUUUUUUUCAGAUAGCAGUUGGAACUUGGAUCUGAGAUUCCUCACAUAGAUGCCCUGAUGAUUUUCAAUGUAUGCUCUUUUCUGACAAUCUCUUGACAAUCAUCAGCAGGGUAUUCAAGUCUGUAAUCAGAAGCUAAAAUGCAACUAAAAAUUAUGCAGGCACAGCUUGCUCAAUGAAAGGCACAAAAAAUACAGAGGUGAGCAACCUGUAUGCGUUGAAAACGGGAAUACCAUCUAUCCAUUGUUCUAUGCUGCUAGAGAUGAGACAGAAAGCAGAGACAGCUGUGCAAACAACCAAUGGUUCUAACAACGGUUCUGUCACAGAGUUGGUCUCAAAAUUGUAGGCUUUCGCAAAAUAAAAUAUUCAAGCUUUCAUAAAAAUCUCACAAUUUUUGAAAAAUGU